CGCGGUGUCGGAGGCGUCAUGGGUUGAAAUUUAAAACCCCGGGCAGCGAAAAUGCCCUUGUCUGCAAACGUGUCUGAAAGUUUAGAGACACCGUGACGACCGCGUCCAACAACAGGAGGAGCUCUGAAACUUAUUCAGAAAAGACAAUGCCCUCUUGUAAGGUGUAGGGGAAAAAGAUGCCAGGAGAAUCUCAUCCUUUAAAACUCACCCAGAAAGGUAGAUCUACGAACCAGUAAGGCUCAUUUUUCUUUUUCUUCUUUGUGGUUUUGAAUGGUUGCUGUGCCGCUUUCUCACAAACAUGCACACUGACUUUUACAUUCUCCCCUCUCUUUCUCUGCUGUGUAUUGGAGGUGCCUAGCCAUGGCUGCUGUGUUGUGACUAUUUCUGCCUAAUGAGAUUGAAAUGAUUGAAAUGUUUUGUGCCUUGCCUUGAAUGUGCUUUGUGCUAUGCUACUUUCAGUUUUUUUGACAAUAUGAUCAUCCAUCUAUUUCGAACAUGGCCACCGGUUCGUCCAAAAUGGCCACCCUAUUUGUUUCUGUCUUUGUCUAUUUUUUCCUUUCUUUCCCUCUCUCUGUUGAGCUGACCUUUUAAUUGUGUUGGGAGGGAU